GUGAAUCAUCAAAUUUUUGAACGCAAAUUGCACUCUCUUCGGAGAGUAUGCCUGUUUGAGGGUCAGCCUAAAAAAAAUCGACGUAGUCGCUGUUUCGCGGUGACAUUCCUCGGAAAGUGGGUCAUCUUAUACCUUUGGGUUUUUUAAGCGGCUUAAAAUUUUGUUUAUGAUUCCACGGAUGUUUCUAAGAUUUACUUCUUACGUUUACGGUAUCGUUUUUCAUUUGACGUGUCCGUUGCAUCU
rnacentral:misc_RNA from 1 species